UACGUAGGGUGCAAGCGUUGUCCGGAAUUAUUGGGCGUAAAGAGCUCGUAGGCGGUCUGUCGCGUCUGGUGUGAAAAUCCAGGGCUUAACCCUGGACCUGCAUUGGGUACGGGCAGACUAGAGUGCGGUAGGGGAGAUCGGAAUUCCUGGUGUAGCGGUGAAAUGCGCAGAUAUCAGGAGGAACACCGGUGGCGAAGGCGGAUCUCUGGGCCGUAACUGACGCUGAGGAGCGAAAGCAUGGGGAGCGAACAGG
rnacentral:rRNA from 2 species